AGGCUGGGAUGGGUGCAGUGAGGCCAGGCAGGUCAGUUGAAAUGGCCGGUCCCGGAACACAGAGCCUGGCAGCCCAGCCGGGAGGGCUGUCCGCCUGAGGCUGGAUUUGCCAGGCUGUGGAGGGAGGGACAGGAAGAAGCAGGUCCCAUACGCCUUUCCCCAAGUUGGAGCUGGGCCUGGGGCCCCAGCCCAUGGCGCCCCGGGAGCUCCCCACCUGCUCCAUCUGCCUGGAGAGGUUGCGCGACCCCAUCUCGCUGGACUGUGGCCACGACUUCUGCAUACGGUGCUUCAGCACACACCGUGUCCCCGGCUGUGAGCCGCCCUGCUGUCCUGAGUGCCGGAAGAUAUGCAAGCAGAAGAGGGGCCUCCGGAGCCUGGGCGAGAAGAUGAAGCUCCUGCCGCAGCGGUCGCUGCCCCCUGCACUGCAGGAGUCUGGUGAGGGCGGCCGGCCGAGAGGAGGAGAGGCAUCCCUGCAGGGCUGCAGGUGGGGCGCCAAUGGCCUCGCCAGGGGCAUAUGGAUGUGGAGCCACCCCUUCUUGCUGGGGAA
rnacentral:sRNA from 1 species